GAAACUUGAGUGCAGAAGAGGACAGUGGAACUCCAUGUGUAGCGGUGAAAUGCGUAGAUAUAUGGAAGAACACCAGUGGCGAAGGCGGCUGUCUGGUCUGUAACUGACGCUGAGGCUCGAAAGUAUGGGUAGCAAACAGGAUUAGAUACCCUGGUAGUCCAUACCGUAAACGAUGAAUGCUAAGUGUUGGAGGGUUUCCGCCCUUCAGUGCUGCAGCUAACGCAUUAAGCAUUCCGCCUGGGGAGUACGGCCGCAAGGCUGAAACUCAAAGGAAUUGACGGGGGCCCGCACAAGCGGUGGAGCAUGUGGUUUAAUUCGAAGCUACGCGAAGAACCUUACCAGGUCUUGACAUACUAUGCAAAUCUAAGAGAUUAGACGUUCCCUUCGGGGACAUGGAUACAGGUGGUGCAUGGUUGUCGUCAGCUCGUGUCGUGAGAUGUUGGGUUAAGUCCCGCAACGAGCGCAACCCUUAUUAUCAGUUGCCAGCAUUAAGUUGGGCACUCUGGUGAGACUGCCGGUGACAAACCGGAGGAAGGUGGGGAUGACGUCAAAUCAUCAUGCCCCUUAUGACCUGGGCUACACACGUGCUACAAUGGAUGGUACAACGAGUUGCGAACUCGCGAGAGUAAGCUAAUCUCUUAAAGCCAUUCUCAGUUCGGAUUGUAGGCUGCAACUCGCCUACAUGAAGUCGGAAUCGCUAGUAAUCGCGGAUCAGCAUGCCGCGGUGAAUACGUUCCCGGGCCUUGUACACACCGCCCGUCACACCAUGAGAGUUUGUAACACCCAAAGUCGGUGGAGUAACCUUUUAGGAACCAGCCGCCUAAGGUGGGACAGAUGAUUAGGGUGAAGUCGUAACAAGGUAACCGUAA
rnacentral:rRNA from 1 species